AACGAACGCUAGCGGCGCGCCUAACACAUGCAAGUCGAACGUGAAAACCUUCGGGUGAGUAAAGUGGCGCACGGGUGAGUAACACGUAGGUAAUCUACCCAAGAGUUCGGAAUAACCUGCCGAAAGGCGGGCUAAUACCGGAUAGUUCGAGGAGUCCGUAAGGGAUUCCUCGGGAAAGGGAGCUGGUAACAGCCUUCACUCUUGGAUGAGCCUGCGUCCUAUCAGCUUGUUGGUGAGGUAACGGCUCACCAAGGCUUCGACGGGUAGCUGGUCUGAGAGGACGAUCAGCCACACUGGCACUGCGACACGGGCCAGACUCCUACGGGAGGCAGCAGUAAGGAAUAUUGCGCAAUGGGCGAAAGCCUGACGCAGCGACGCCGCGUGGGGAUGAAGGUCUUCGGAUUGUAAACCCCUUUCGGGAGGGAAGAUGGAACGAGCAAUCGUUCGGAC
rnacentral:rRNA from 1 species